rnacentral:rRNA from 1 species
UACGUAGGGGGCAAGCGUUGUCCGGAUUUAUUGGGCGUAAAGAGCGUGUAGGCGGCUUUACAGGUCCGUUGUGAAAACUCGAGGCUCAACCUCGAGACGCCGGUGGAAACCGUAAGGCUAGAGUCCGGAAGAGGAGAGUGGAAUUCCUGGUGUAGCGGUGAAAUGCGCAGAUAUCAGGAAGAACACCCGUGGCGAAGGCGGCUCGCUGGGACGUUACUGACGCUGAGACGCGAAAGCGUGGGGAGCAAACAGG